CUUGGAAGAAAGCACAAUGGAAGUGGCCUCUGAUUAGUAGCUAUGAUGGUGCUCCACAGUACUGCAGUUUGUGCUGCUACUGCUGUUAAUGGACCCUGCUGGCCACCCAUCUCGAUGGCUUCAGAAAUUUAGCUCUGUCUUUUCUGAGCGCUCUACUAUGCGUCAACAGCAUUCUCGAGUGCUAGUCAACAAAACCGUACUUGCUGUGUCACUUGGAGAUGUGACACAA